GCUAGGUGGACGUUGGCCUAGGUGAGCCCCAAACCCUUUUAGUUGAGGGAUUUCUCCCAGAUGAGCCAUGUUUAGGUGUCUGGAUAGUGACUGUGAGGCAAUGAGGAAUGAGGUUGACCUGUAACCCAGCCCUAAUGCCAGAACAGGGGUGCACAACAUGGGCUAUGUGACAGACAAGGUCGUACUGGCUGGUUCCCUGGAUUCAGCUAGAUUCUAACCCAAACUCCGGAUCUUCUGCACUCUGCAACUCAGGAACAACAAGGCCCAGAAUCUGCCAGAACUGCCCCAUCAAGCUCUGCCAGAGCCAAAUGUGAAGCCACCUACUCAUGAGGGCCCUGUAAUGCGGGAGCUGCAGAUUACCAGAAAACAAUGCACUGUUCUCCAAAUCAUCAAGAACUGUGGAGUUGCAAUGAACCCAAAGGUGAUCUAUUCCACCCCCAUACUGAUGGAAGAAUCUGCAACCAAAUUAUCAUGACGGGUGGCAGCGGAAAGAAAAGCAGCCAGAAUAUGGGCUUCUUUAUUCACAUAAAGACUUUUUAUUCAAAUUAUAAAAAAAACCCAGGCGAUCUGAUACAAGAGUUUGAAAAGGUUGCUUUUUUGGAUGGCACCCUUCUGGGCUUUCCCAGAGUCAUACAGAGGUGGGAAAUGCCCUUUAAAAUCUCAGAUACCUUUUUCAUCUGUUAAUAUGCUGUAAAACAGUUUGAGCCUAGUUUGGGAAAGUUAAGGUUUUUGGGACCUUGACUCCUGUAGGGUGGCCAGAUGUCCUGUUUUAGGGAGGAUAGUCCUCCAUUUGAAGAGCAGUCCUCCUUUUUGUGACAUGUAACUGGCUACCAUGCUGCCUUCCUCCAGUGCGUUUCCUUGGCUGAGCAAGGGGAAUAGAGGUAUUGACUGUUAGAUGUAUCUAAUCACCCCACUCUUACUUUUUUUAAGUGCACGUGAGGGAAUCAUUAUGCAAGAAAAGAGGCAAACCUCACACACUAACUACUGAUGAACGUCAGGAAGGAUAUUGCCUGGCAUGUCAAUUCUGUAUGAACUCCUAAUGUGAGCUCUGUCCCAGGGGUGGACAUUUUGAAAGCCUUGUUCGGACCAUUUCUCUGAAAUAGCUUAUUGUUGCUUAGCAAUAAAUAUUUUAAAACAACAACAAUA